CACAAGACUACAUGACAAGCUAUCAAAAACUGAAGUUUUCAAAGGUCUCUCUCAAAGUGAAAGGGUGAGCUCUGUAUGCCGUGAAAGCCAGGACGUUAAUGAAGACCAGAUUUUACAAAUACUGGACUCUAAAUCGCACAAAAGAGAAGACCUGGUGAAGGCAUGCAACUGUCUUGGAGUGUCAACAACUGGCUCACAAACAGACCUUAUAAACAGGCUGGAGGAACUUCUCCUUUAUAAGGAGGUUUACCCCAAAAUGUUUGUAAAGCUGAAAAAAGCUGGAGGUGGAGUAUUACACAUGGGCUGCACCCAUGGUGUUGUAUAUUAUACAUCACCAUUAUGGUGGCAGGAAUCUGCACGGGACCAUGGGGAUGCUCUGCUAAGUUUUAAAUAUCCCCCCACUGUGUGCAUCUCUGACAUCGCUGGACGUGUUGCCAGGCAUGUUAAUAAUCGUACGCAACAG